GAGAUGUCUCGUGGGCUCGGAGAUGUGUAUAAGAGACAGGGUAGGGGAGCGUUCUUCACGGGCUGAAGGUGUGUCGCAAGGCAUGCUGGACUGUGGAGAAGUGAUUAUGCUGACAUGAGUAACGAUAAAACGGGUGAAAAACCCGUUCGCCGUAAACCCAAGGUUUUCCGGGUAAAGGUAAUCUUCCCGGAGUUAGUCGGCCCCUAAGGCGAGGCUGAAAGGCGUAGCUGAUGGGAAACGUGUUAAUAUUCACGUACUUGUGUGUUCGCGCGAUGAAGGGACGCAGGAAGAUAGGCAAGCCGGGCGCUGGUUGUCCCGGUGCAAGCGUGUAGGGAUGAAGAAUUGGCAAAUCCGUUCUUCUCUAUCCUGAGACGCGAGUCCGUGACCGAAAGGUCUGAAGUUGUUGAGUCUAUGCUGCCUAGAAAAGCUUCUAAGUAUAGGACACGCAAACCGUACCGGAAACCAACUCAGGUGGGUGGGAUGAAUAAUCCAAGGCGCUCGAGAGAACUCUGGCCAAGGAACUCGGCAAAAUAACCCCGUACCUUCGGAAGAAGGGGUGCUUUUUAGGGUGAAGCGAUUCACUCUGUCGAGCCCUGAAAAGCCGCAGAGAAAUGGUGGUGGCGACUGUUUACUAAAAACAUAGGUCUGUGCCAAGUCGUAUAGACGACGUAUACGGACUGACGCCUGCCCGGUGCUGGAAGGUUAAAAGGAGAUGUGCAAGCAUUGAAUUGAAGCCCCAGUGAACGGCGGCCGUAACUAUAACGGUCCUAAGGUAGCGAAAUUCCUUGUCAGGUAAGUUCUGACCCGCAUGAAAGGCGUAAUGAUUUGGGCACUGUCUCAACAGCCCGCCCGGCGAAAUUGUAGUACCGGUGAAGAUGCCGGUUACCCGCGACAAGACGGAAAGACCCCAUGGAGCUUUACUGUAGCCUAAUAUUGGGUUUCGAUGUUGCAUGCACAGGAUAGAUGGGACACUGGGAAACAAUCGCUUUGGCGGUUGCGGAGUGGCCGUUGGGAUACCAUCCUUGCGAUAUUGGAAUUCUAACCUGCGGCUCUGAAUCGAGUCGGGGGACAUUGUUAGGUGGGCAGUUUGACUGGGGCGGUCGCCUCCUAAAAAGUAACGGAGGCGUUCAAAGGUUCGCUCAGCUUGAACGGAAAUCAAGCAAAAGAGUGCAAACGCAGAAGCGAGCCUAACUGCGAGACUGACGGGUCGAGCAGUAACGAAAGUUGGAGUUAGUGAUCCGGUGGUAUGUGAGUGGAAAUGCCAUCGCUCAACGGAUAAAAGUUACCCUGGGGAUAACAGGCUGAUCUCCCCCAAGAGUCCACAUCGACGGGGAGGUU
rnacentral:rRNA from 1 species